CGUCUUGAAAGCUGGCAGCUCUCUGUUUAGAAAAUCUCUGCCCAGUGAAAAAAUGUACCGACAAGAUUACUAAGUAACACAGUCUUCUGGGAAUGCCUUAUCAAUGCCAGCUAUUUGAAGAGCACCCAAAGUCAAACUAGUGCUCCGCGCUGGCAGUCUGGAAAAGGCAGAUGUAUUGUUAAACAGGAAAUGGAGAAACAGACACCGAGAAGAAAGGAGAGAGAUGAGGUGUUCUAUGAACAUCUGUCCCUGAUGAAUUCCAAGGAAAGACGGGCCCACUCAUGAGAGAUCUACUACCCCCCGCAACCCAUGUAUUCUAGGAUCCACGCAGCUCUUUUCAGAAGUUUCAUCAGUUAUACCUGCUUCCCUGAGAGCUGAAUGAUCUGACUAAAGGCAAGUUUUGCUCUCCUAUAGCCACAAUGUGGGCAUUCAUUAGCUAUGCCAAUCAGUUGCUCAGACUCGGACUUUGAACCGGGGCUAACAUCACAAAGAAGUGGAAGCCAUGAAGAAUCUAUUCUGUGGGAGGCCUAGGGUCACAACAGCAGCAACAUCAAGUUUUCAAGAACAGAACCAGUGCUCUGAGCUGAUAUACUCUAUAAAUGAUGUCCUUCUGCUCCACGUGCAUGCGGAAUCUUUUCACUUUUUCAAAGAUGGCUUUGGCCUGUUCACCCUCCUUCUUGUCCAGGACACUGGAAGUUGGGCUUUCUAUGCCAGCUGACUCCAAACCUGGCUGCGGGUAGGGCAAUGACUGUUUGCCAGAAUCUAUGUCA
rnacentral:antisense_RNA from 1 species